UUUCCGUAGGUGAACCUGCGGAAGGAUCAUUCAUAAUAAAGUGUUUUAUGGCACUUUUUAAAAAUCCAUAUCCACCUCGUGUGCAAUGUUAGAUCUCGUCAAUCUUGGCGAGAUUUUUAUACAUCAACUCAUUCUUUAACUAAUUUGUCUGAAAAAUAUUAUGAAUACUUAAUUCAAGAUACAACUUUCAACAACGGAUCUCUUGGCUCUC
rnacentral:misc_RNA from 1 species